rnacentral:rRNA from 1 species
AGAGUUUGAUCCCGGCUCAGAUUGAACGCUGGCGGCAUGCUUUACACAUGCAAGUCGAACGGCAGCGCGGGGCAACCUGGCGGCGAGUGGCGAACGGGUGAGUAAUAUAUCGGAACGUACCCAAGAGUGGGGGAUAACGUAGCGAAAGUUACGCUAAUACCGCAUACGAUCUAAGGAUGAAAGCAGGGGAUCUUCGGACCUUGUGCUCCUGGAGCGGCCGAUAUCUGAUUAGCUAGUUGGUGAGGUAAAGGCUCACCAAGGCCACGAUCAGUAGCUGGUCUGAGAGGACGACCAGCCACACUGGAACUGAGACACGGUCCAGACUCCUACGGGAGGCAGCAGUGGGGAAUUUUGGACAAUGGGCGAAAGCCUGAUCCAGCAAUGCCGCGUGAGUGAAGAAGGCCUUCGGGUUGUAAAGCUCUUUUGUCAGGGAAGAAACGGUGAGGGCUAAUAUCCUUCGCUAAUGACGGUACCUGAAGAAUAAGCACCGGCUAACUACGUGCCAGCAGCCGCGGUAAUACGUAGGGUGCAAGCGUUAAUCGGAAUUACUGGGCGUAAAGCGUGCGCAGGCGGUUUUGUAAGUCUGACGUGAAAUCCCCGGGCUCAACCUGGGAAUUGCGUUGGAGACUGCAAGGCUAGAAUCUGGCAGAGGGGGGUAGAAUUCCACGUGUAGCAGUGAAAUGCGUAGAGAUGUGGAGGAACACCGAUGGCGAAGGCAGCCCCCUGGGUCAAGAUUGACGCUCAUGCACGAAAGCGUGGGGAGCAAACAGGAUUAGAUACCCUGGUAGUCCACGCCCUAAACGAUGUCUACUAGUUGUCGGGUUUUAAUUAACUUGGUAACGCAGCUAACGCGUGAAGUAGACCGCCUGGGGAGUACGGUCGCAAGAUUAAAACUCAAAGGAAUUGACGGGGACCCGCACAAGCGGUGGAUGAUGUGGAU